rnacentral:rRNA from 1 species
GACGAACGCUGGCGGCGUGCUUAACACAUGCAAGUCGAACGGAAAGGCCCUGCUUUUGUGGGGUGCUCGAGUGGCGAACGGGUGAGUAACACGUGAGUAACCUGCCCUUGACUUUGGGAUAACUUCAGGAAACUGGGGCUAAUACCGGAUAGGAGCUCCUGCUGCAUGGUGGGGGUUGGAAAGUUUCGGCGGUUGGGGAUGGACUCGCGGCUUAUCAGCUUGUUGGUGGGGUAGUGGCUUACCAAGGCUUUGACGGGUAGCCGGCCUGAGGGGGUGACCGGCCAAAUUGGGACUGAGAUACGGCCCAGACCCCUACGGGGGGCAGCAGUGGGGAAUAUUGCACAAGGGGCGGAAGCCGGAGGCAGCAACGCCGCGUGGGGGAUGACGGCCUUCGGGUUGUAAACCGUUUUCGCCUGUGACGAAGCGUGGGUGACGGUAAUGGGUAAAGAAGCACGGGCUAACUACGU